CUGCGACCCCAGGUCAGGCGGGGCCACCCGCUGAGUUUAAGCAUAUCAAUAAGCGGAGGAAAAGAAACUUACGAGGAUUCCCCUAGUAACGGCGAGCGAACCGGGAU
rnacentral:rRNA from 1 species